rnacentral:sRNA from 1 species
UUUUAACCGCUCUUCACCCCACACCUCUCAACAAUGGUGGAUAGGAUUUGAAGAGCAAACACCCUGAGCACCCCCGAAAGGGAGAGAGCUAUGUCUUUUGAAUUACCUGCAUUACCUUAC